rfam:Aedes albopictus isolate Foshan contig52097, whole genome shotgun sequence.
UAGCCUAGUGGUUAAGGCUAUGGAUUGCCAAUCCGGAGACGGUGGGUUCGAUUCCCGU